ACCAGACUCCUACGGGAGGCAGCAGUGGGGAAUAUUGCACAAUGGGGGAAACCCUGAUGCAGCGACGCCGCGUGAGUGAAGAAGUAUUUCGGUAUGUAAAGCUCUAUCAGCAGGAACGAGACAAGACGGUACCUGACUAAGAAGCCCCGGCUAACUACGUGCCAGCAGCCGCGGUAAUACGUAGGGGGCAAGCGUUAUCCGGAUUUACUGGGUGUAAAGGGAGCGUAGACGGUUACGCAAGUCUGGAGUGAAAGGCGGGGGCCCAACCCCCGGACUGCUUUGGAAACUGUAUAACUGGAGUGCAGGAGAGGUAAGUGGAAUUCCUAGUGUAGCGGUGAAAUGCGUAGAUAUUAGGAGGAACACCAGUGGCGAAGGCGGCUUACUGGACUGUAACUGACGUUGAGGCUCGAAAGCGUGGGGAGCAAACAGGAUUAGAUACCCCCGUAGGG
rnacentral:rRNA from 1 species